GAUGAAGAACGCAGCGAAAUGCGAUAAGUAAUGUGAAUUGCAGAAUUCAGUGAAUCAUCGAAUCUUUGAACGCACCUUGCACCCUUUGGCAUUCCGAAGGGUAUGCUCGUUUGAGUGUCAUUGUACUCUCACACUUCCAAUCUUUGGAUUGGGAGCAGUGGACUUGGGUGUUGCUGCUUACUGUGGCUCACCUCAAAUCGAUUCGUGCACCUCUUGGUUGGACAUAGUACGGCGUGAUAAGUGUCUUCGCCGGCACCUCAGUAGAGGGUGGCUGAUCAGGAGCUCUGUGCUUCAAACCGUCCUCGGACAAAAAUUGACAACUUGACCUCAAAUCGAGUAGGACUACCCGCUGAACUUAAGCAUAUCAAUAAGCGGAGGA
rnacentral:misc_RNA from 1 species